rnacentral:lncRNA from 1 species
ACUGAAUGAGAGCCAGAGAACGUCAGGCGGAACAGAGAUGUCAGAGAACACAGCCACUCUGAUGGGACGCUUUUAUGCGAGGGACCUCUUGGAUCUGAAAGCAGUUCCUGAUCUUCGGGCUGAAACAGCGUGGUGACAUGAAACAGCAUGGCAGAAGAGUCAGGAACCUGCUUGUCUCUCCCUGUCUGUCUGUUACUGCGGGGGGGAGGACACGGCGAGAGGUGUGUUGAGGACGUUCUUCAUGCUCUCAGCUGCUGCUUCAUUGCUUGUGUCACCAAGUCUGUUUCGUGACAUUUUUCGCUUCCUCUCUUUUUUUUUUUUGUCUGUCUGUGGCACUCUGUCUUUCUUAGCUCCUCCCACUUCUGUUCCUCCUCUCUACAGCAUGUUCCUCCCUUCCUGGUUGUGUGUCUCCCUCCUCCCUUCCCUUCUUGGCAGCGGUGCCAAAGUGGGCUGGCAGAGCGAGGCAAGCAGAGCAGAGGGCGAUCUAAAGGCUGGCAAAUUGUUCACGUGUAGGUUGGAGCUGCCCUCUGUCUGUCUGUGUUUGCGGGUUUGACUCUGCCUGUGUCACAGGAAGCAGUGUGCGAUUUGGAGCUCUGCAUUUUCGUUUGUGCUGGACGUUAUGAGUGUGCUGCAUCUGAGCAGACGUCCCUCUGUCACCCUGUGGAUGGGCAGACGCUUUCACGCCUGUAGGAGGGGAUUGUGGGAAGGGGGUGUAGCUCUCAGAGGGUGUGCUCUACUCCUCUCGUUUCCCUUCUUCCCGCCACCACGGCCCUCUUCUCCUUCAGUUCUCCAGCCCAGCCCGCCGCACACGUACAGACUUCAGACACUGGCCACUCCUGGCACAAAGCUGAGACAGAAGGAGAGAACACACAAAUGCACAAGAACCUGUACCAGUUUCCCUCCUUUGUGGCGUCUGUGCCAAGCAUUCAUCCUGUCUCGCUGACGAAGAGAACCCACUAGGUAUUUUCCUGCCUCCGCUUCCUACAAUAAUCCGUCCAAAUUUGAGGAGGUUUUUUUUUUUUUUUUU